GGUGAACGCUGGCGGCGUGCCUAACACAUGCAAGUCGAGCGGUGCAGUUUGAAGCUUCGGUGGAAAGCUGCAUAGCGGCGGACGGGUGAGGAAAACGUAGGAACGUGCCCCUUGGAGUUGGAUAGCCACGGGAAACUGUGGGUAAACCGACAUAGACUCGAGAGAGUAAAGGCCGAAAGGCGCCAAGGGAGCGGCCUGCGGCCCAUCAGGUAGUUGGUAGUGUAAAGGACUACCAAGCCGACGACGGGUAGCCGGUCUGAGAGGAUGGCCGGCCACAAGGGCACUGAGAGACGGGCCCUACUCCUACGGGAGGCAGCAGUGGGGGAUUUUGGACAAUGGGCGAAAGCCUGAUCCAGCGACGCCGCGUGGAGGACGAAGCCCUUCGGGGUGUAAACUCCUUUUCUCAGGGAAAAAAGGAUGAUGGUACCUGAGGAAUAAGCCCCGGCUAACUACGUGCCAGCAGCCGCGGUAAUAUUACGUGUA
rnacentral:rRNA from 1 species